ACAAGGAAGCCAAGUCAGUGAUAGUCUUGGGGUUGAUUCCACUGGCACCAAGAUCCAAGGGAGUAACACGGUGACCGCCUGAUUUGAGCAGCGACACAAUCUUGUACCAACACCAAGCUCCAUGACACAUACCAUGAAUUAGAACAAAGUGUGUCAUAGUUUCCCUAUCCUUUUUCUUUUCUAUCUUAAUAUUUCCUGUUAGCUGCUUCAACUAUUUGCAAGGGAGUUCUAUCUAAUGCCAGCCAACCUGUUGAACAGGCUGCUCAAUACUAAAAUUCUGCUAUUGGGACCUGCCCGUUCUGGUAACAGUUUCUC
rnacentral:lncRNA from 1 species